rnacentral:rRNA from 1 species
AACAGGAUUAGAUACCCUGGUAGUCCACGCCCUAAACGAUGAUGACUCGAUGUUUGCGAUAUACCGUAAGCGUCCAAGCGAAAGCGUUAAGUCAUCCACCUGGGGAGUACGCCCGCAAGGGUGAAACUCAAAGGAAUUGACGGGGGCCCGCACAAGCGGAGGAGCAUGUGGUUUAAUUCGAUGAUACGCGAGGAACCUUACCCGGGCUUGAAAGUUACUGAAGCAUCCAGAGACGGAUGCGUCCUUCGGGACAGGAAACUGGUGCUGCAUGGCUGUCGUCAGCUCGUGCCGCGAGGUGUUGGGUUAAGUCCCGCAACGAGCGCAACCCCUAUGUCCAGUUGCCAGCACGUAAUGGUGGGGACUCUGGCCAGACUGCCUGCGCAAGCAGAGAGGAAGGCGGGGACGACGUCAAGUCAUCAUGGCCCUUACGUCCGGGGCUACACACGUGCUACAAUGGAUGGUACAGCGGGCGGCUACACAGCAAUGUGAUGCCAAUCUCGAAAAGCCAUUCACAGUUCGGAUCGGGGUCUGCAACUCGACCCCGUGAAGUUGGAUUCGCUAGUAAUCGCGUAUCAGCAAUGACGCGGUGAAUACGUUCCCGGGCCUUGUACACACCGCCCGUCAAGCCAUGAAAGCUGGGGGUACCUAAAGCAUGUAACCGCAAGGAGCGUGUCAGGGUAAAACCGGUAAUUGGGGCUAAGUCGUAACAAGGUAACC